AUAGGAGAGGAGUUUCGUUGCUUUUUACAGCAUCACCGGUCAUUGGAGAAGAAGAUAGAGUCCAAGUAGUCAUUAAUUUAUUCUUUUAAAUGGAAAAAUAAUAAGUUGGGAAUUUUGGGUCAAUUUUGUUGGAUAUGGGCAUGGAAUUUUUGUUGAGUUUCCGGUACUAGGAAGUACAUCCUCGUCGAGACAAGUACCCUCCACCCCUAAGGUUGGGAAAACCUGGAAAAUACUGUACUUGGGUCUCUUCCGAUCAUCACCCUCGAAGGAGGUUGGAUGAGAAACACACCUUCACUUGUGUGGAAGCGACAGGUUUUAUAAAUAGAAUUUGCAUGUCAAUUUAUUUAAUAAUACCUUUAAAUGUUACUCUUUUUGUCAAUAACUGUUAAUAAUAAUUUAUCUUCAUUUUUCUUAAAAAUAUAAUUAACCUAAUAACAUUCAAUAUUUUGAUACAUUAAAUCUUUCCACUGUUUCUAUCAUUUGUAUACAAUAGUUUGAAGGUUGUAAACCAUCUUGUUGUAAGAAUGUUGUGCACAAUAUUCGGGGGUUUAGAACCUUAUUUCAUAACCUAUUUAAAUAAAAUUUAUUUCAUCGGUUAGGCAUUGUCACCUCCGAUCAGAUACGGGAUUGUCAGCCAAUCGUGUAUCCUUCCUUAAUCAUAAGUUGUACACACUGUUGGAUAUAAUUAAUUUCUUACAUAUUUUCAUAUUGUAAAACCUGCGUUAUCGACAGGAGCGUACUAGCCUAGUACGUCCGGUAAGUUAGCUAGUUUGUAUAAAAUUGUAUAUAGGGGUUAUAGGUAUUUUUUUUUUCAUUAAAUUUGUUGGUUGUACAUA